rnacentral:rRNA from 1 species
CUGGCGGCACGCCUAACACAUGCAAGUCGAGCGAAGCUUUUCAGUAGUUUACUACAGAAAAUGACUGAGCGGCGAACGGGUGAGUAACGCGUGAGCAAUCUACCUUAGUUACAGGGAUAGCCCGAGGAAACUCGGAUUAAUACCUGAUAUUCUUUAAAUUUCGCAUGAAAUUAAAAGGAAAGGUCAGCCGAACUAAGAUGAGCUCGCGUUCUAUCAGCUAGUUGGUGAGGUAAAAGCUCACCAAGGCUACGACGGAUAGCUGGUCUGAGAGGACGAUCAGCCACACUGGGACUGAGACACGGCCCAGACUCCUACGGGAGGCUGCAGCAGGGAAUAUUGCGCAAUGAGCGAAAGCUUGACGCAGCGACACCGCGUGUGGGAUGACGGAUCUAGGUUUGUAAACCACUUUCAGGAGGGAAGAAAAUGACGGUACCUCCACAAGAAGCCCCGG